AUGGCUGUGCCAGCAUAUGUUCUGCUAAUCCAGUCAGGUCUUGUUGGAGGUGACCCCCAGAAGCAAUUCUUCUCCAAGGUGUCAGCCAGAGAUGGGCAGCAAGUGGUUCUGCCCUGUCAGUCCACCAUCGAGGACAAUGUCAGAAUUUUUAAUUUCUUCUGGUAUCGCCAGUUCUCAGGAGAGAACUUGAAAUUUAUCCUGCAAGCAUUUAGAGCUUCAGGGAAUGACAAGUUCCAUAAUGGGGUGCGGGCGCAGCCGAGGCUGGGGGAGGCCAGUGGAGGGAUGCGAGCACCCAGGGACUCUGUGCUUCUCUCCUGCCGCGGGUCCGGCUGCAGUUUCGUCCGUUACGCAGUUGGGUGGUACCGUCAGACACCGAAUGGUAGAUUCGAGUUAGUAUCCAACUGUUGGGCCUCGGGUAAUCCAUAUUAUGGAGCAGUAGAGCAGGGUCGAGCCAGGGUUUCCCAGGACAAUUCCCAGUCCGUGUCUUACCCGUCCCUGCAUGCCCUGCAUUCCCUGGACACUACUGGCUACUUUUGCGCUCUUCUCUACCAUUUGCAGGGUGACAGGAAAUCCAGAGUAGCUUCAACGCAAGCUUCCUGCUAG